rnacentral:rRNA from 1 species
CCGGCGACCGGCGCACGGGUGAGUAACACGUAUGCAACCUGCCCGUCUCAGGGGGAUAAUCGUCGGAAACGGCGUCUAAUACCCCGUAUGAAGCUGGAUGGCAUCGUCUGGUUUUGAAAGAAUAUCGGAGACGGAGUGGGCAUGCGGCGCAUUAGCUAGUUGGCGGGUAACGGCCCACCAAGGCGACGAUGCGUAGGGGUUCUGAGAGGAAGGUCCCCCACACUGGUACUGAGACACGGACCAGACUCCUACGGGAGGCAGCAG